GACGAACGUCCUACAAUUCUUAACCUCCCUGUAUGAUACUGGGAAAGCUUACAGGACGAUAAACCUCUACCGGUCAGCUAUCUCAGCCGGCCAUACCGGCAUCGAUGGAACCCCGAUAGGACGACAUCCACUGGUUUGUCGUCUUCUCCGAGGCAUUCGCUUUGCGAGGCCACCCCUACCUCGCUAUUCCUCCCUAUGGGACGUCUCCCUGGUAUUGCAAUUCCUGACUAGGUGGCCAGACAAUGAGUCUUUA